rnacentral:rRNA from 1 species
UACGGAGGGGGCUAGCGUUGUUCGGAAUUACUGGGCGUAAAGGGCUUGUAGGUGGCCAACUAAGUCAGACGUGAAAUCCCUCGGCUUAACCGGGGAACUGCGUCUGAUACUGGAUGGCUUGAGUUUGGGAGAGGGACGCGGAAUUCCAGGUGUAGCGGUGAAAUGCGUAGAUAUCUGGAGGAACACCGGUGGCGAAGGCGGCGUCCUGGACCAACACUGACACUGAAAAGCGAAAGCCAGGGGAGCAAACGGG